rnacentral:rRNA from 1 species
GACGAACGCUGGCGGCGUGCCUAAUACAUGCAAGUAGAACGCACAGUUUAUACCGUAGCUUGCUACACCAUAAACUGUGAGUUGCGAACGGGUGAGUAACGCGUAGGUAACCUGCCUGGUAGCGGGGGAUAACUAUUGGAAACAUUAGCUAUUACCGCAUAAUAUUGAUUAUUCCAUGUUAAUUGAUUGAAAGUUGCUAUUGCAUCCCUACAAGAUGAACCUCCGUUGUAUUAGCUAGUAGGUGAGGUAACGGCUCACCUAGGCGACGAUACAUAGCCGACCUGAGAGGGUGAUCGGCCACACUGGGACUGAGACACGGCCCAGACUCCUACGGGAGGCAGCAGUAGGGAAUCUUCGGCAAUGGACGAAAGUCUGACCGAGCAACGCCGCGUGAGUGAAGAAGGUUUUCGGAUCGUAAAGCUCUGUUGUAAGAGAAGAACGGGUGUGAGAGUGGAAAGUUCACACUGUGACGGUAUCUUACCAGAAAGGGACGGCUAACUACGUG